ACAUAUGUUGCAUGAAAACAAUUUGUUUUUUUUUCAAGUGACUACUCUUGGUUAACUUCCAGCCAUGUAAAUCCAUAUUAUAUUUCUGGGUCUUGCUUUCAAAUGGAACUUUAGUUGGCUUUCUGACAAUUGCUGACUGCUUCACUGGUUGUGGAAUUUCAAUAACUUGGAGAGAAUUAGUCAUCCAUCAUUGUCCAAGCGGUGCAUUGCUGAUCCCAGAGGCCAUUUGUUAUAUAAAUGGGCAGUGGCGGCCCUUUUCAUUACUUCAAAGUACACUUUACAUAUGGGCAAUAAAGAUGUGAUUCUGCAGGUCACAAUAUGCAGCCUUUCUGUCAUUUUUUUUUUUUUUUAAAUAAAAAAGUAAACAUUAGUGCUAAA